rnacentral:rRNA from 1 species
UGAGGAAUAUUGGUCAAUGGGCGGAAGCCUGAACCAGCCAAGUCGCGUGAGGGAUGACGGUCCUAUGGAUUGUAAACCUCUUUUGCCGGGGAGCAAAGCUCACCUUGCGAGGCGAGCCGGAGAGUACCCGGAGAAAAAGCAUCGGCUAACUCCGUGCCAGCAGCCGCGGUAAUACGGAGGAUCCGAGCGUUAUCCGGAUUUUAUUGGGUUUAAAGGGAGCGUAGGCGGACGCUUAAGUCAGUUGUGAAAGUUUGCGGCUCAACCGUAAAAUUGCAGUUGAUACUGGGUGUCUUGAGUACAGUAGAGGCAGGCGGAAUUCGUGGUGUAGCGGUGAAAUGCUUAGAUAUUGCGCAGAACUCCGAUUGCGAAGGCAGCGUACUGGCGCCUGACUGACGCUGAGGCACGAAAGCGUGGGGAUCGAACAGGAUUAGAUACC